AUUGAACGCUGGCGGCAGGCUUAACACAUGCAAGUCGAGCGAGCGGCGGACGGGUGAGUAAUGUCUGGGAAACUUCCUGAUGGAGGGGGAUAACUACUGGAAACGGUAGCUAAUACCGCAUACCAUCAGAUGUGCCCAGAUGGGAUUAGCUAGUAGGUGGGGUAAUGGCUCACCUAGGCGACGAUCCCUAGCUGGUCUGAGGGGAUGACCGCCCACCCUGGAACUGAGACACGGUCCAGACUCCGACGGGAGGCAGCAGGGGGGAAUAUUGCACAAGGGGCGCAAGCCGGAUGCAGCCAUGCCGCGUGUGGGAAGAAGGCCUUCGGGUUGUAAAGCACUUUAAGCGAGGAGGCGUUACUCGCAGAGGAAGCACCGGCUAACUCCGUGCCAGCCGCCGCGGUAUAC
rnacentral:rRNA from 1 species